rnacentral:tRNA from 6 species
GCUCCUGUAGCUCAGCUGGAUAGAGCGACUGCCUUCUAAGCAGUAGGUCGCGUGUUCGAAUCACGCCAGGGGCA